rnacentral:rRNA from 1 species
UAGGGAAUAUUAGUAAUGGGCGAAAGCCUGAACUAGCAACACCGCGUGUGCGAAGAAGGCCUUCGGGUUGUAAAGCACUUUUUGAGAGGAUGAGGAAGGACGGUACUCUCAGAAUAAGUCUCGGCUAACUACGUGCCAGCAGCCGCGGUAACACGUAGGAGGCAAACGUUAUCCGGAUUUACUGGGCGUAAAGCGCGUGUAGGUGGUAGGGUAAGUAGAGCGUGAAAGCUCCUGGCUCAACUGGGAGAGGUCGUUCUAAACUGCCGGACUAGAGGAUGGUAGAGGGAGGUGGAAUUCCGGGUGUAGCGGUGGAAUGCGCAGAUAUCCGGAGGAACACCAGUGGCGAAAGCGGCCACCUGGACCACUCCUGACACUCAGACGCGAAAGCUAGGGUAGCAAACG